GUGAAGGUAAAUCACCGCGUCCUUUUAUUCGACCCCAGAGGCCUGAGUGUUCGAGGUCGCGGUUCCUUGGCAGUGCGCCUCCGGGAUCGCGGGGAUCAAUAAUACCCCCGGAUGCUGUGCCCAAGCAGGGCCGCCUCGUGCUUCCGGGGGGCUCGAGAAGGACCAGGCUUCGGAGUCGCCAAGCUGACAAAGAUGGACAAGGUGGAGAGAGAAUUCCCAGGUAAUGGGAUUGUAAACAGAUGCAGGUCUGAGCAAUAGCCUGGUGACCUUUGCUAAAGUGUAUAGCAACAGCAGACAAGAUUCCAGGAAGAACAGCAGCUGUUAUGGAUCUAUGAUGAUGAAAGCCACACAACAAAGACAACUGAACAAAGAAGACAGCAGGAGCUUGGGAACUUCAUGACAUUCUUGAACAGUGGUGCCAGCACUGAAUGAAUGCCCUUAGGACCUCUUAUUAAAUGACAUAUACUAACUCCUUUCUGUUUAA